rnacentral:rRNA from 1 species
CUACGGGUUGCUCCAGUGAGGAAUUUUGCGCAAUGGGGGCAACCCUGACGCAGCAACGCCGCGUGAGUGAUGAAGGCUCUUGGGUCGUAAAGCUCUGUCAGUGGGGAAGAAGUUAUGUUGUAUUAAUAGUGCAAUAUAUUGACGGUACCCACAAAGGAAGCACCGGCUAACUCCGUGCCAGCAGCCGCGGUAACACGGGGGGUGCAAGCGUUAUUCGGAAUUAUUGGGCGUAAAGGGCGCGCAGGCGGCCAUGUAAGUCAGGUGUGAAAUCCCGGGGCUCAACCCCGGACGUGCAUUUGAAACUAUAUGGCUUGAGUAUGGGAGAGGGAAGUGGAAUUCCUGGUGUAGAGGUGAAAUUCGUAGAUAUCAGGAGGAACAUCAGUGGCGAAGGCGACUUCCUGGACCAAUACUGACGCUGAGGCGCGAAGGCGUGGGGAGCAAACAGGAUUAGAUACCCUAGUAGUC